rnacentral:lncRNA from 1 species
UUUUUAAUAGAUUUUUCACAUAAUACAACAUCGAAGCUUACGGACAAAUGAGGCAUGUGAUGAGCUUUUUUGUUUUUUUAACGAACUUGUUAAACAUCUAUGGGGACGAAAAUAUUUUAAGAUCCUUAACUAACUCUAUUUUGUUUUUUCCUCUUUUUUUUUUCGGGUCCAAGUGUUUGAAAAAAGUAUAAACCCAUUUAGAAAGAUAUUUGUUGUAAACCUUAGACCCUCCUUGAACGAUUAGGUUUGGUGCAUUGGCCGAACACUGGUGAUUAUAACACUGGUGAUUAUAGAGAUGGUAGAGGUCAAGGAGGUAGGACAUGAAACCUUGUGAGAUCGAAGCGUUUUUUUUAGCAUUAGAGAAGAACUCGAGGGACUUUGGGAUCUAAUUUGCUAACAAAUGGAGUGCCUACUCUUGGAUGGUUUUUAACCUUUGCAUCUUUAUGUUUUCUCACCACAAUCUUCUUUAUAUCUGUGCUAUUAUAGGUUUUCCUCAUUGUUUUUGUUUGUUAUCUCUUCCAUUUUUUUUAUUAUAAUUGAUUUUGCACUAUGAAGCUCAUCAUAUUUUGUUAUGCUUUUAUGAUUCAGCUGAUUUUAUCUGUUCUUGUCAUGUGUUUUGUAUAUUGGGUUUAAAAUUUCUUCAGAAUGUCCUAGGAGAAAUUCUCAACAAUUUAAGCUCUAAACUCUUAGACUAUAGGACUGAAUCUACAGUUUACAAGAAAAAGAUUUAGUAUGAUCCAUAAAACUUUCUUCUUAGAGAAUGUUUUAUUUUCUCUCGAUGACCCAAUUUUUUCCGUCUAACCAUUUUCUAUCUCUUCUAGGUUGGAUGCCUUAAUUGCG